rnacentral:rRNA from 1 species
AUGGAAUCGAUAAGUUCUAGCGGCGGACGGGUGAGUAACGCGUGAGCAACCUGCCCUCCACAGGGGGAUAACGGCUGGAAACGGUCGCUAAUACCGCAUGACGUGUUCGGAUGGCAUCAUCUGAACAUCAAAGAUUUAUCGCUGAAAGAUGGGCUCGCGUCUGAUUAGAUAGUUGGUGGGGUAACGGCCUACCAAGUCUACGAUCAGUAGCCGGACUGAGAGGAUGACCGGCCACACUGGAACUGGAACACGGUCCAGACUCC